rnacentral:rRNA from 1 species
UACGAAGGGUGCAAACGUUGCUCGGAAUUAUUGGGCGUAAAGCGCACGUAGGCGGCUUUGCAAGUCAGAUGUGAAAUCCCUCGGCUUAACCAAGGAAGUGCAUCCGAAACUGCAGAGCUUGAGUACUUAAGAGGAUCGCGGAAUUCCCGGUGUAGAGGUGAAAUUCGUAGAUAUCGGGAGGAACACCAGUGGCGAAGGCGGCGAUCUGGGAAGAUACUGACGCUGAGGUGCGAAAGCGUGGGGAGCAAACAGG